AAUUGAAUUUUUUUGUCCAGUGCAAGAUAUUAGUUGUGUAACAAAUUGUUAAAUUCUCACAUGUCAGAUAGUGGUGCAUUUCAUGGCUUGAUCUGUCUCUUUUUACUCUAGGCCAGCGGCAGACACGUCGCCUGCCUCCCCUGGCUUGCUCCUGGCCAUCUAGCGAAGGUUUAGAGAUUGAGGCUGAGUUUGGGCAGACCUCAUCAUUGUUGGUUUGUUUGGUAUGGAGUAAGCUAGCCCAGGGGGAAAAUAGUGAACCUGGCAGAUGAUGGGGAGUAAUGUGGCAGUGAUUUCUCUCCCUUUAUUAUGAUGAAGUUGUGGCUUGUAUCAAUGUUGUAUCUGCAAUUUGAAAUAUGUAUAUAUGCCAUGUCCGAUUAGCAACACAAGACAUUGGAAUCUCCAAAUUUCACGGCAUUGAUUCAGUUCUCUGGCCAGUAGACCGGCCUACUAACUUCAUUUAUGGACAAAAAUCAAGGGUGUACAUCAUCCUUAUGGCUUAUCUGGAAAUGGCUUGCCAUGUUUCUCAAUUCUCUCCCAGCUACUACAACCACUGCUUGUACCCUUCACGCUUUCCUCAAGCCGGGGUCUAUGCAUGAUACAAGUGUGUUGUAUAAUGCAAUGAAGGUGGACAACAAUUUCUUCCAGAAUCCUCCCAAGAAUAAGUUCUAUGUCGUUGAUGCCGGAUACCCCAAUAGAGUUGAUUAUCUAGCAUCGUACAAAGGCAAGAGGUAUCAUUUACUAGAAUGGCAUAGAGGUAUGGAACCCAAAUCUCUAUAGGAGAAGUUUAAUCAUAUUCAUGCACGUGCUUGAAAUAUUAUAGAGGGGCAUUUGGAGUAUGUAAGAUGAAGUGGUAAAUUCUAUAUAUAAUGUCGUUGUAUCCAUUGUGGAAGCAAAAAAAUGAUUGGUGUGGGGACUAUGGUAGUUCAUAAUUUCAUUUGUGAGCAUGAGAGAUUAUGAUCCUACAAUACCAUAAUGGUACAACAAGUAUUGCAUGCACUGGAUGGAUCAACUACAUUACCUAAUGCGCCAACUAUGGAUGUUUUUUGUGAUGAAUGAGUGACGACUAUCACUCAAAGUUGAAACUAAUU